GCCACUUCUCCUGUGCCAUCUGUAGGAGAGAGAAAGAGGCUUGUUUGUGUUAUGCUGAAGUACUUUGAAACACAAACAAACACAUGCACAAAAACAAGCAAUCUAUUUAUUUAUAUAGUUCAAAAGUUUAAAACAUGCACUUAACAGUUUAAAAAUGCUCUUAUAUUUGUUUUUUAUUAUUACUUGUGUUGCUCUUAAAAGGCACUUUGUAUUAUCUUUUUAUAUAUAUAAAUAUGUUCUGUCAUGUUCAAUAUCAAGGCCAAUCUAACCUCCAUCAUUUUAACCUUAAGCAGUUCCAAUCUAACACAAUCAGUUUGCAUACCCUUUAAUGGUCGUUCAUGUUCAUAUCAUCUGUUUUUGUCAUACGUGUUGUUUGUUCGUCUUUGUCAGCUUCAUGUCUUUGUGAUGUUUGUAUGUCUUUAAAACACACACAACAAAUGUAUCUUACAGGAAUGGCUUGAGCCUUUAUUUGUUGAUUGGUGACCUGAGUCUUUGGAUAAUCCUGUUAUUUAUUGGGCUUUUGGCCAGUACAAACCAAUUGUUCAUUUUUUUUAUCUGAAGUACAAGUUUGUGUUUUUAAUUAAGUGUUCUUGAUUUAUUAUUAUUAUUAUUAUUGUUAUGUGUGUGUGUGUGUGUGUGUGUCCUUGUAAUGUUUGUAUGUCUGUCAGCUCCAUGUUUAACUAAAUGUUUGCAAAUGGUAGUUAACGUUUCACAUGUGCUUUCAUGCACUGCUUUUCAAAUGAAACACAUUCUAGGUGAAAAAUAAAAGUUGUAAAAGUA